rnacentral:tRNA from 1 species
UAGUGUUUAGUACUAAAAUUACUGAUUGUUUACUAAAGUUUAAUUGGAUAAUAUUAU